rnacentral:rRNA from 1 species
ACCUCGGAUCAGGUAGGAAGACCCGCUGAACUUAAGCAUAUCAAUAAGCGGAGGAAAAGAAACCAACAGGGAUUGCCCUAGUAACGGCGAGUGAAGCGGCAACAGCUCAAAUUUGAAAUCUGGCUUCGGCCCGAGUUGUAAUUUGCAGAGGAAGCUUUAGGCGCGGCACCAUCUGAGUCCCCUGGAACGGGGCGCCAUAGAGGGUGAGAGCCCCGUAUAGAUGGACGCCUAGCCUGUGUAAAGCUCCUUCGACGAGUCGAGUAGUUUGGGAAUGCUGCUCAAAAUGGGAGGUAAAUUUCUUCUAAAGCUAAAUAUUGGNCCAGAGACCGAUAGCGCACAAGUAGAGUGAUCGAAAGAUGAAAAGCACUUUGAAAAGAGGGUUAAAUAGCACGUGAAAUUGUUGAAAGGGAAGCGCUUGUGACCAGACUUGCGCCGGGCGGAUCAUCCGGUGUUCUCACCGGUGCACUCCGCCCGGCUCAGGCCAGCAUCGGUUCUCGCGGGGGGAUAAAGGCCCUGGGAACGUAGCUCCUCCGGGAGUGUUAUAGCCCGGGGCGUAAUGCCCUCGCGGGGACCGNGACC